rnacentral:rRNA from 1 species
GCUACCAUGCAGUCGAGGGGUAACAGGAGUAGCUUGCUACUUGCUGACGACCGGCGCACGGGUGCGUAACGCGUAUAGAAUCUACCUUGUACUAGGGGAUAGCCUUUGGAAACGAAGAUUAAUACCCUAUAGUAAGUAUUUAUGGCAUCAUUUAUACUUUAAAGGUUACGGUACAAGAUGACUAUGCGUCCUAUUAGUUUGUUGGUGAGGUAACGGCUCACCAAGACUUCGAUAGGUAGGGGCCCUGAGAGGGGGAUCCCCCACACUGGUACUGAGACACGGACCAGACUCCUACGGGAGGCAGCAGUGAGGAAUAUUGGACAAUGGAGGCAACUCUGAUCCAGCCAUGCCGCGUGCAGGAUGACGGCCCUAUGGGUUGUAAACUGCUUUUAUGUAGGAAGAAACACUCUCACGUGUGAGAGCUUGACGGUACUACAAGAAUAAGGACCGGCUAACUCCGUGCCAGCAGUCGGG